UUAACUGGGCGUUCAGUCUCUGGAUAUAGACCCGAAACCAGGUGAUCUAGCCAUGGGCAGGUUGAAGGUUGAGUAACAUCAACUGGAGGACCGAACCGACUAAUGUUGAAAAAUUAGCGGAUGACUUGUGGCUAGGGGUGAAAGGCCAAUCAAACCUGGAGAUAGCUGGUUCUCCCCGAAAGCUAUUUAGGUAGCGCCUCGGACGAAUACUACUGGGGGUAGAGCACUGUUAAGGCUAGGGGG
rnacentral:rRNA from 1 species